rnacentral:rRNA from 1 species
UGUCCGGAAUUAUUGGGCGUAAAGAGCUCGUAGGCGGUUUGUCGCGUCUGCUGUGAAAACUCGGGGCUUAACCCCGGGCCUGCAGUGGGUACGGGCAGACUAGAGUGCGGUAGGGGAGACUGGAAUUCCUGGUGUAGCGGUGAAAUGCGCAGAUAUCAGGAGGAACACCGGUGGCGAAGGCGGGUCUCUGGGCCGUAACUGACGCUGAGGAGCGAAAGCGUGGGGAGCGAACAGG